CUGAUCAAACAAGACACUGUUCUUUUCAGUUUUCUCAACUAACUGGAACAUAAGUAGUUGUUUCUUCCAUUCAUUGUUGCCUUUGUCAUUGUAUUGUUGUAAUGUGUAAUCGUUUCAGUAUUAAGAUUGUUAUAAUGUGUAAUAUUUUCUGUAUCAAGCAUAUGAACCUCCUAAACUUAUGCUACACAAAAGAGUGAAGUUUUAGUUGAAUUGUAUUUGUUGCCUUUAGACUUUAGAGUGGUUUAAGUAUGUCAAGAGGUUUGUAAAGGCUUCGAUAUAAUAAGAUAAAAAUUCUAUAUAAUGACAUUUGCGUAUAAUUUGUGAAAGGGUAACUAUAUUUAUAUGUUUUCUUUAUUCAUUGAGAGGGGAAAAAUAAAUCUGUAUUGAACAGGCUUCUUCUUCUGAUUAUGGUGUAUCCUCGACUAUUUUUAAAGACUAAGAUGUUGAUUUUGGGAAAGUCAAGCCUCUGUCACUUACUGACAUGGGGCUUGUGGAGAAUACUACGAAAGAUACAUGCUUGGUAAUUCUUGGCCAUGAAAGUGUAAAUGUUAAUGGAUGGCAAUGUGUCAAAGAAUAUAGGCACAACGUGAUUUUCUUACAAGAGACACAUCAACAUUAAUCGAAAAAAAUUUGUAGGUGAGUACAUAGUCAUAGUAAAAAAUAGGAGAAUGAAUAUAAAACCACUAUGCCACUGUUUUAAUCCCCAUGUUAAAUAGAGGACUGCUGAGCUUGGAGUGAGUCAUUGAUAUAGACCUCCUUGAACUUUGUUUUCCUGAGGCCUUGUGUGAUGUUUGUGCUCCAUGUUUUCAUCCAUAUUUUGUCUAUCGCAACCUUGAGAAAAAUAUUAAGACACUACUAGACUGUGGUCGAGAUUUGCUGACAUCUUGGUGAGAGACUGCAUGUGGUGGAGGUCCAUCAAAGGGGUCCAGCUUUCAUCAGAGAGUGGUCUGACAUGGUAGACUGUGGUCGGAGGUUGCUGACGUUUUGUUCUGUUAAAGAACUGUGGUUAUAUACUUACAUUAGGUAUGAGGAUUUUUAUUUGGCUCAAUGAAAUGCUGGAACAUACUGGUGUGGUGAAUGUCGAUGGAUAUAUGUAAAUGGAAAUUCAAAUUGAUUGACACAGGCUAAAGGAUUGGCCUCUUAAGAAACUGCUUACAAGGUGUUUGUCAAAAUGCCUGAUAGAAAGAUUUUUGUGACAUGAGGGAUUUGAAAGUGUAUUUCUGGGAUUAAAUUUGCAAUAUCUUUUCUGGUUUAGUUGGAGAGGCUUAAGUUUUUGUUUUUGUACCUCUUGCUAGAGUAACAUUCUUCCUCUAUCCUCAUGCUAUCUGCUUCAGAAGCCUCAUGCUUUCCUGCUGCUCACACCAACGCCUUCCAUGGCCACUUCAAAUUACCUUACCUACUACUCACUCCACAAACUUCUGCCAAGCCCAUCUCUAUAUUCAAGAGGGUCGAAUUCUCUGCCACUUCAUCGUUCAAGCUGCUCUUAUUGCCUCUCAAGCCCAGCCCAAGGGAGUCACACAUACCCCGUUAGACAUUGGAUUCAAACAAAUUGCAUAUAGUAUGAAGAGCAUCCACUCAAAUGCUUCCAAAAAAAGAAGAGGAUAGAAUCAUUGGUUGCUUGCUGCUAUCAAAAGUUAUGUAUGUGUUGAUUGUUGGAAUUUCUUUUAGUAAGAAGCAAAUAGUAAUGAUGUCAAUUUUCAAGCACUGUUGCUACUUGUAGGCAUGUUUCAUCUAAAAAUAGCAAGGAGUGUUUUUGGAAGUGAACUUUAGGAAGAAUUCACUAUUUUAUUUGUUGAAUGUGGUUAUGUUAUCACUGUUAAACAUGUUUUUGAUGUACUAUCUCAUUUGUGAAA